rnacentral:tRNA from 1 species
GAACUUUUAGUUUAAUUUAGAAUUUCCCAUUUACAAUGGGGAGGUAGGAAGGUUUU